AGCUGUUAUAAAAGGGAGGGGAAGGCCCACUCCGCCAUUUUCUUUUCGUGGAGGCUGGGCUCGAGUCGUCUGCGCUGUGGUCGUCAUGGACCGGAAGCGUGUGCGGGCGCGCCUGCCUCGAGGCCAGCAUCAGGGAAGUGUGUCCCAGGUGAAGGCGAAGCUUCCUUCACGUGUUCUUGGAGGACUUUCCGCUCGCAAGCGCUUCUCCAUUCUCCUAACGUCUCGGGCCUGACCUGUGGAUGAAGAGCCAGAGUCCCCCAAGGUCAAUGCUGCUGGCCAGUGGCCUGGUGUCUGCAUUAACAGAACAUCUGCAACGCCCUCAAAGCCCAUGGCCACUCUCUAGUCCAGAGGAGAAAAGGAUAAUAAAUAUCACACUAAACAACAUGGAAUACUUCUCAAGUCACCAGAAAGGUGAAACUGGACAGAAUACUUCUGUCCAUAAGGCCCUUAGAAGCCCCCUAAGUGAAAUAGCAGUGAGGACCCCCCCCCCAGCAGCUGCUGUCUCUUCAGUCAGUGUGGAAAGAAGAAACCUGGUGGCCUUGGCCUGGGAAUAUGGCGGUUCCAAGCACAAUGCUGUACUGAAAUGGUACCAGAAGACAGAAGGUUACGCGGCUAGACCAUGCCAUGAAGGAAGAUCCCUUGAUUACAGCCUCCCCAGCCCAUCAGCCACACUGCCAAGGACAUGGGAAAGAAUAAGAAGCCAGAGGGAGACAGCUGCCAGCAGGAGGUUUAGCAUAAAGAAGAUAGGAAUGGUAAUGAGAAAUUGA
rnacentral:lncRNA from 1 species